rnacentral:rRNA from 1 species
ACUACGGAGAGUUUGAUCCUGGCUCAGGAUGAACGCUGGCGGCGUGCUUAACACAUGCAAGUCGAACGAACCUUCGGGUUAGUGGCGGACGGGUGAGUAACGCGUGGGAAUCUGCCCUCAGGAGGGGGAUAACGGUUGGAAACGACCGCUAAUACCCCAUAUGCCGAGAGGUGAAAUGAAUUUCGCCUGAGGAUGAGCCCGCGUCUGAUUAGCUUGUUGGUGAGGUAAUGGCUCACCAAGGCUUCGAUCAGUAGCUGGUCUGAGAGGAUGAUCAGCCACACUGGGACNNNNNNNNNNGGGACGAAGGCCUCUGGGCUGUAAACCUCUUUUCUCAAGGAAGAAGAUAUGACGGUACUUGAGGAAUAAGCCACGGCUAAUUCCGUGCCAGCAGCCGCGGUAAUACGGGAGUGGCAAGCGUUAUCCGGAAUUAUUGGGCGUAAAGCGUCCGUAGGCGGCUUUUCAAGUCUGCUGUUAAAACGUGGAGCUUAACUCCAUCAUGGCAGUGGAAACUGUUGGGCUUGAGUGUGGUAGGGGCAGAGGGAAUUC